rnacentral:rRNA from 1 species
UACGUAGGGGGCAAGCGUUGUCCGGAAUCAUUGGGCGUAAAGCGCGCGUAGGCGGCCCGGUAAGUCCGUUGUGAAAGUCAAAGGCUCAACCUUUGAACGCCGAUGGAUACUGCCGGGCUAGAGUCCGGAAGAGGCGAGUGGAAUUCCUGGUGUAGCGGUGAAAUGCGCAGAUAUCGGGAGGAACACCUAUGGCGAAGGCAGCUCGCUGGGACGUUACUGACGCUGAGACGCGAAAGCGUGGGGAGCAAACAGG